GCCAGGCAUGGUGGCGCACACCUGUAACCCCAGCGACUUGGGAGGUUGAGGCAGGAUGAUCAGGUUUGAGGCCAGCCUCAGCAACUUAGUAAGAACCUGUCUCAA
rnacentral:sRNA from 1 species